GACGAACGCUGGCGGCGUGCCUAACACAUGCAAGUCGAGCGGAGAUAUAUGGAAGGUUUACCGGAAAUAUAUCUUAGCGGCGGACGGGUGAGUAACGCGUGGGCAACCUGCCUCAUACAGGGGGAUAACACAGGGAAACUUGUGCUAAUACCGCAUGAAAUCAUAGUAUGGCAUCAUACAAUGAUCAAAGGAGCAAUCCGGUAUGAGAUGGGCCCGCGUCCGACUAGCUAGUUGGUGAGGUAACGGCUCACCAAGGCGACGAUCGGUAGCCGAACUGAGAGGUUGAUCGGCCACAUUGGGACUGAGACACGGCCCAGACUCCUACGGGAGGCAGCAGUGGGGAAUAUUGCGCAAUGGGGGAAACCCUGACGCAGCAACGCCGCGUGAAGGAAGAAGGCCUCGGUUGUAACUCUUUGAUAGGGACGAUAAUGACGGUACCUAAAACAAGACCACGGCUAACUACGUGCCAGCAGCCGCGGUAAAGUCACGUCGC
rnacentral:rRNA from 1 species